UACAGAGGGGGCAAGCGUUGUUCGGAAUUACUGGGCGUAAAGGGCGCGUAGGCGGCCCGCUAAGUCGAACGUGAAAUCCCCGGGCUCAACCUGGGAACUGCAUCCGAAACUGCCUUGCUCGAGUAUGGGAGAGGGAAGUGGAAUUUCCGGUGUAGCGGUGAAAUGCGUAGAUAUCGGAAGGAACAUCAGUGGCGAAGGCGACUUCCUGGACCAAUACUGACGCUCAGGUGCGAAAGCGUGGGGAGCAAACAGG
rnacentral:rRNA from 1 species